CCCCAGCGUCUAGGAGGCCCCCCCAGCGGCAUCCUGGGCGCUGGGGGGGAGGGGUCAGUGUCCAGCGUCCUGGGUUGAGGGCAGUGUCCUCCGCUGUCACCAGGAUACCUGCUUCCAGCUCUGCUGGGAGGAGAGACAGACUCUACAAAACAAAGCAGGAGGCUGAACCGUGGAAGAGGGGAGAUGGGCCCAGCGCCUCUCGGCAAACAGGUGGGCUGACCGGGAGCCACCCCUCCUCCCGGGGCCCCUGCAUCUGGAGCCCCCGAGGCCGGCCCUGCAGCACCGCGGAGCAGACCUGGAACCAGCUGCUCCUCCUUCACACCCCAGGGUCUCAGAGCCCUUCGUUCCAGCCCAGCUCAGGGCACAGCUGGGGAGAGACUGUAGGAACCAGAGCACAACUAGCUUGGGCCAGAGUGCCCUGUCCUUCUGAUGCCCUUCAUUUGGUAAGAAUUGGCCCCGCGCCCCAGUGCCCUGGGG
ensembl:lncRNA